rnacentral:rRNA from 1 species
AGCAGCCGCGGUAAUUCCAGCUCCAAUAGCGUAUAUUAAAGUUGUUGCAGUUAAAAAGCUCGUAGUUGAAUUUCGGGGUUCUACCGUUGGUCGGGCUUUGUCUGUACUGGCGUGUAGAAUUUCUACCUUCUGGGGAACUAUCAUGUUAUUAAUUUAGCGUGGUAGGAAACCAGGACCUUUACCUUGAAAAAAUUAGAGUGUUCAAAGCAGGCUUAUGUCUGAAUACAUUAGCAUGGAAUAAUAAAAUAGGACGGUGGUCCUGUUUUGUUGGUUUCUGAAUCACCGUAAUGAUUAAUAGGAAUAGUUGGGGGCAUUAGUAUUCAAUUGUCAGAGGUGAAAUUCUUGGAUUUAUUGAUGACUAACUACUGCGAAAGCAUUUGCCAAGGAUGUUUUCAUUAAUCAAGAACGAAAGUUAGGGGAUCGAAGACGAUCGGAUACCGUCGUAGUCUUAACCAUAAACUAUGCCGACUAGGGAUCGGACGAUGUUAUUUUUGUGACUCGUUCGGCACCUUGAGGGAAC